GAUGAACGCUGGCGGCGUGCCUAAUACAUGCAAGUCGAGCGAACGGACGAGCAUUUUGCUUUUCUGAUGUUAUCGGCGGACGGGUGAGUAACACGUGGAUAACCUAUCUAUAAGACUGGGAUAACUUCGGGAAACCGGAGCUAAUACCGGAUAAUCUUUUGAACCGCAUGGUUCAGAAGUUAAAGACGGUCUUUCUGUCACUGAUAGAUGGAUCCGCGCUGCAUUAGCUAGUUGGUAAGGUAACGGCUUACCAAGGCAACGAUGCAUAGCCGACCUGAGAGGGUGAUCGGCCACACUGGAACUGAGACACGGUCCAGACUCAUACGGGAGGCAGCAGUAGGGAAUCUGACGAAAUGGGCGAAAGCGUGACGGAGCAACGGCGAGUGAGUGAUGAAGGUCUUCGGAUCGUAAAACUCUGUUAUUAGGGAAGAACAUAUGUGUAAGUAACUGUGCACAUCUUGACGGUACCUAAUCAGAAAGCCACGGCUAACUACGUG
rnacentral:rRNA from 1 species